CGACACAGAUCCUCUGCUCUCUUAAUUUCCUCGUCUUUGCCUUCAAUUCUCAGCACCCGCUGGCGCAGCACUUCAAUCUCCGCCAACAUGCUGGAGUUGCUACCUUCUGCCUGAAUCACCUUGUCCUGGAGAUCCAGGAGUUCAUCCUCUGCUUUCUGGAGGUUUUUUGUGGCUUCCUCCAACUCAUCAAGGCGGCGGCUUAGACUCUGUAGCUUAAACCGCAAGUGGCGGCUGGAGGCCGUCUCCUUGUAGCUUGUAAAUUCGGCCAUGUCUACUGCCAGCCAAUGUGGGCUCCUAGAGGCAUCCAAUUCCACUCAAGGGGAUGAGAAAUGGUUACCUUUCUCUUGGCAACCACAAUCUUCUUUGACAGCUGGAGACCAUCAUCAAUCUACAAAAGGAAAGUAGAAAGCAUGUCAGUCAGCAAAUGUAAAACCUGCACGUUAGCUCCCAGUUAUAGAAAAGUGCUCCUAUCUGUUCCUGGUGCCUGGAUCAUAGCAGGGGCUCAAACCUGUUGAAUGAAUGACUUGAAUAAACCUGCAAGAAAACACUGGUUCUUUAUGGCCGAUAUUGAGUUGAUACCUCAUUUCGCCCUAAUAAAGAAUGUCACCAGUGGCAGCAUG
rnacentral:lncRNA from 1 species